UAGGGAAUCUUCCACAAUGGACGCAAGUCUGAUGGAGCAACGCCGCGUGAGUGAAGAAGGUCUUCGGAUCGUAAAGCUCUGUUGUUGGUGAAGAAGGAUAGAGGCAGUAACUGGUCUUUAUUUGACGGUAAUCAACCAGAAAGUCACGGCUAACUACGUGCCAGCAGCCGCGGUAAUAUGUAGGUGGCAAGCGUUGUCCGGAUUUAUUGGGCGUAAAGCGAGCGCAGGCGGAAUGAUAAGUCUGAUGUGAAAGCCCACGGCUCAACCGUG
rnacentral:rRNA from 1 species